rnacentral:RNase_P_RNA from 1 species
GGAGGGCGCUGGACCGUCGCGGCGCGAGAGCGUCGAGGAACGUCCGGGCUCCAUCGGGCAGGGUGCAGGAUAACGUCCUGUCGGGGCAACUCGAAGGAAAGUGCCACAGAAACAUACCGCCCUCGACAAGCUCAGGCUGACUGAGAUUUUCGAUCGGUAAGGGUGAAAUCGUGCGGUAAGAGCGCACGGCGCUCCGCGGUGACGCGGACGCGGGUAAACCCCACCUGGAGCAAGACCGCUCGACAUCCCUGAGCUUCGGCUCGGGGCCGCCUGCCCGGCGGAACGAGCAACGUCGCACCGAGGUAUGCAGCAAUGCAUGCCCCAGAGAGAUGACGGCCACGGCCUCUUCGGAGGCUUCGACAGAAUCCGGCGUACAGGCGUCCUCCGCGC